AUUCCAUGAUGAGGGCACUUUCGUAAUAAUCUUUUGUACCUUUCCCAUGCCUCAAACAAGGACUCGUCAUCCAUUUGUUGGAAAGUAGUGAUCUAAUUCCUCAACUU
rfam:Gossypium raimondii chromosome 4, whole genome shotgun sequence.